rnacentral:tRNA from 1 species
GAUUAAAUGGCUGAAGUAUAGGCAAUAAAUUGUAAAUUUAUGUAUAAGAAAAAUCUUUUUAAUCA